UACGAAGGGGGCGAGCGUUGCUCGGAAUUACUGGGCGUAAAGGGCGCGUAGGCGGUCAGUUAAGUCAGAGGUUAAAGCCCAGGGCUCAACCUUGGAAUCGCCUUUGAUACUGGCUGUCUUGAGUACGGGAGAGGUGUGUGGAACUCCGAGUGUAGAGGUGAAAUUCGUAGAUAUUCGGAAGAACACCAGUGGCGAAGGCGGGUCUCUGGCCCGUUACUGACGCUGAGGCGCGAAAGCGUGGGGAGCAAACGGG
rnacentral:rRNA from 1 species